CGUGCCGGCUAUGCUGUUUAUUUGGGUAGUCAGGUGCCAGUCUUUCAGUAAAUCUGUUAUGAACCAAUUAGUGCCUGUCAGAGAUAAGCGUAAACCACCUAUAAGAUUCUGCGAAAGGGGUGGGAUUAAAAAAAGGAGAGCUAAUUGUUGUUAGCAUAGCUAUUAAUAGUUGGAAGAAGGAGACUAUGUGUGGGCGGUGUAUUUUGCGCCAAGUCAUUGAUGGACCUCGAAGCCUACAUGUCGGCCUGCAGCCCGCUGCUACAGAGGUUGCGGUUACUGCUAUAGGACGCUGACGUUCAUGGCUGAGGGUGCUUCGAACUUCCCGCUGCUGACGCAUUUCAUCUCGCUGUUCCCAUGAGACAGAGGGUUUGAGGAAGCUGUUCGUCGAACUUGCAUUUUCAUGGAUCGCUCGGUGGAACGCGGGUGAGAAGCAGCUGGGUUGGUGGUAUCACAUGGGGGUGCACGCUGUACUGCAGUUAUCGAAGGAGGAGUUCAGCCCGUACGACUCUGACACCUUUUCAUCACCACAUUCUCUCGUUAUGCAAAAGCGGCGUUGUGGCUGAAUGCUAUUGAGGGAAAACGAGCAGCAGCAGAAGCUGAGGGGUAACCCUGACACGUUCAUGCCUGUCGUCCUUUCCCAGCUUCGUGAGGUGCGUCACUCGUGAAUCACUCACAGUGAUUCACAGUUCAGGUGAUACACUGUAGCCCAGGCAGACAACAGGAGCAACUGAAGGCAGUUAAAGUCAACUGCGGUGAGGGCAGUGAUCCACGGGUUGACAGGUCUGGUUGAACAGGUUCUGAGGGGAGAGGCUGAUACUUGUUUAACUGCAAGGUAUGAUGACACUCUACCUCAGCUGCUGAUGCCUCUCUGCAGCAUUCACUCGCACUGGCCCGCGUGAAAGACUAGUUUUACCAACCGAUCGCUCAGCAGGUUAUUUACGUGAAGUGAAAAGUUGGUGGUUUCUUUCUUCUUUGUCAAAGAAACUGAGAAGAGGAAAUCACUUUACAAGAUCAGUUUCAGGUGCUGAGGAUUUAGUUGUUGUUCUCGAUGUGAAGCCAAAUUUUUUUCCCCCAUCUUCUCUUGAACCAUGACAUUAGAAUGUCUGUUAAUGACGAUGACGUGGGGAGAUUGUUUUGUCACUUUCCUCCUCGGGUGAUACUUUUCUUAUAGAUCUACUUUUACUAAAUGGACAAACAGUUAUUGUAGCAUUAGUUUAGAGGUCACUAUGGUUCAAAAUCAACAACAACAAAAAGAAAUAACAACUUAAUAAUAAUUCAGCAGUUUCCAGUCAGGCGAAGCAUGGUCACUGUGCAGAAUGUGAACUGAAGUGACUGUUAUUGACCGCCUUAUUUUGUUUUUCACAAUUAUCAAAAGAAUUAUAAUCUGCAGAGUCAAACCUGCAGCGCCACAUUUCUAUACGUGAGCUACACCUUCACAGGGGAACACACCUGCAGAGGAGACAGGAGCUACGUAUCAAAUAAUGAAAUUAAAGGGAAUUCAGAAAAAAAAAUGUAGAAAAGUUUUAAAUACCCAGUGACGAUGACUUUGACAUGAAUGACUCAUUUGUCUGCUCUCUUUGUUGUCACAUGAUGCCCUUUUUUAAGUCUAUGUUUUCACUGAACCACACAGUCUGUUUAUGAUGUCAGGGCAGAUAAUGAAAACUACUGUUCUCAUUUAUGUCAGGGUUUUUUUUUUUUUUUUGCCGUUUAUUAAUAGAAGAUUUUUCCAACUCAUGACUGAAGCGCAAUCUGUGAAAUACUCCCAGACAAAAGUUCUUUCUUUUUAAUAGACAUGCGAGAGUGUGAUUGUAUGAGCUAGUUUUUUUUUUUGUAUUUUCUGAAAAACUCUAAAAAAUGUAGCUUAAUUUGUUGGAAGGAAUUUCCUGCCUAUUUACAAAACAAAAAACAAAAAACGAGACCAUCAUUUACAAAGCCAAUUAAUUUACAAGAAAUUUAUUUAAAAAAAAACAAACAUUAUUUACAUGCAGGACAAGACGCUGGAUAAAUUAUUAAGUAUGGAUUUUAAUGUCUAGUUCAUUUUUUAGAGGAAGAAAUAUUUACAUUUACACACAUUCAAACAACACACCUUCUCUCUGGCAGGACUGAUGUGGCUGGUGGAUUGAUGUGGACGUUUAAAUAAAAAAAAGAUGGAAAGGGAAAAAAAAACAAACAGAUACCAAAAAGGCAUGUUCUGACUUUAGGCUUAAAAAGAGAGCAGUGACUGUGGAAGCACUGCUCUGUCUGAAGUCCACAUGAACACUGGAGAGGCUUCUUUUACAAAGACUUUGAAGACACUGGUUUGACCAAACACAGGCCUAAAAACCCAAAACUGGUCUUUUCUUAUUCAGGCUUACAUAAGAUUUGAAUUAUCUCUCUUGAACAAAGCACAAUAACACUGGAGCCAUUUUGAUGUGGUCGUACAAACAAAAAACACAAAAAAAGGAAGGAAAAUUAAGUGAAUAUUCUCUCUCUUUCUUUCUCUCUCUCUCUCUUUCUUUCUUUCUUUUUCUCAUAUAAAAAAUGUCCUCUGUGAGUCCAUUUAAAACACAGGAAAUCAGUGGAUUUGCCUCCAGACGGAGCAGAAGGGGGGAAGCUGAAAGGAAUUCACAGCCACAGCGACUCAUCUUGAAAUGAUGUCCUCCAGGGAGGGAAAAAAAGAACAAUGGACAAUUCUCACACCAUCAGAACCACAUUCCAGUCCAGUGCAAACAGCAAUUACACAUGAGAGAGUGUGACAAGGGCCUGACUAAGUGACAGGACAUACCUUCUACCAGUGAGCAGAGACGCGUUGAGACACUCCGGGGGUGACAGACGUCUCUGGACCUCGGCCACUGUGACCUUGUACUUGGACGUGGAGCUCAGCAGGGACAGUCGGCCCGGUACGGAGCAGAAGACCUCGGUGGGGUUCGACACCAUGCCCAGCAGGGACUCUUUUUGGAAGGGCAGACCCAGUCAUCACUUCAAACCCACCUGAACGUCGUCCAGUUCGUGGCCCAUGUCGUGCAUGCCCAUGUUGUCACCGAUCACGGACGAGUCCAGGCUGUGGGGGUGCGUGGGCAGCAGCUCCGGCCGGCGGAACCCUUCCCU